rnacentral:rRNA from 1 species
CAAUAGCGUAUAUUAACGUUGUUGCAGUUAAAAAGCUCGUAGUUGGAUUUCUGGAGGGAGCGUCGGCCCGUAUUUACGAGUGCGUGACGUCUCUGUCCAUCCUUGCGGGAAGGCACGGCAUUGAUUUGUUGUGUCGGAUCGCAUCAUUUACUGUGAAAAAAUUAGAGUGUUCAAAGCAGGCUUAUGCCGUUGAAUAUAUUAGCAUGGAAUAAUGAUAUAGGACCUUGGUACUAUUUUGUUGGUUUGCGCACUGAGGUAAUGAUUAAUAGGGACAGUUGGGGGUAUUCGUAUUCCAUUGUAAGAGGUGAAAUUCUUGGAUUUUUGGAAGACGAACUACUGCGAAAGCAUUUACCAAGGAUGUUUUCAUUAA